AGGCGGGGAAAGCGCACAAUAGCUCUUGACACGCAAAUGGGUUAACACAAUAAAGGCGGCUCCGGCCUCUGCUGGGGGAGAGCAGCCAUCCCCGGCCCGCGGGAGGUAAUAAAGCGGCCCUUUUGUGCGCGCCUCCUCGUUCUCACCCCCGCCCCGAGCCCGGAGGAAUCGCCGCCUGAUUGAAUUACGGUUCAUGAAUAUGAGCUGCUCCGCUUGCUUCCUCCGGGCCCUUGCCAACCUUCAGGCUGGGUCAGGAACCACAUCUACCAAGGUUGGCACUGACUCAUCCACAUCCUUGACUUCCCUACCAGCUGAAUGCCCACCAGGAGGGUCCCUUCAGUAGAUGGUCAGCUCUGGGGCCGGGAGGACUCUUGGUCAUCAUCCUCAGUGCUAUAUCGCCAGCAUCCUGUGUGAUCACUUGCACACAUUAGGUUCUAUGUCGAUCUAUGUGGAUGGAAUUGGAGAAGGUUCAAGAUGCCCGGAGAGUUCAAGAUGCCGGAUAUCAGCCAGAAGGUGAUGGGGUCCCUUCCACCUGGGAGAACCCAAGAGAAUCUAGGAUUCGUUAAAUCCCCUUGUUUCACCCCUUGGGAUUAGGAGGCCCAGAGAGGGGAAGGCACUUGCUCCAAGUCACCCAGUAAGUUUGGGCCAGAGGUGGGACUUGAGCCCAGAGCCCUCUGAGGGCACACAGUUUCACUUGAGUCUCAUCUCACACACCAGCUCUGUGUUGAGGAUUCUGAGGCCUCACCCGGGUUCAGAAGGGAACAAGCGCUGUGCUACCAUCAAUUAGUGAUAUUUGCUGAGUCUGGGGUUAGCCGUCGGGAGAGCUAGUAGCCCACAGGCUAUUCUGUGGGCAAAGUUUGAAAGAGCACUGGACUGGGAGCCCAGGGUUUCAUUCCUUCAAUCAGCACCACUGUCUUGUCAUGUGACCCCUAAGCCAGGCAGCUUCCCAGAGCCUCAGUUUCCUCAACCAAAAGUUGUGACUACUUACUGGGGUGCUGCCUAUUUCAAGGAAGGACUAUAAUGAGAAAACGAGGACAACUAUGUCCAAAAGCACCUAAUGGGUUCUACAAACAUAGCCAAUGAUUAUUAGCGUAAAAUAAAGUGGCAGCAGUGAUAGGAAUAUGCAUCUAGCGAGGCCCCACUACAGACCAGGCACCACUCCAGGUGCUUUGCAUACAUGAUCUGCAAACCUUGCAGCAAGCCCAUGAAGGGGAAACACAGGCCUGGGUUAUAGAUGUGGACUCUCUACAGGCUGGCAUCAGUGGCCUUGCUCCAGGUGGCACUGAGCUCCUGGGUGUGCCGCACGAGGAUCUGAACCCUGAUGUGUCUCUGCCAUAGGUUUCUGACUCAGGGAAAUGGGGGCUGGAUGUGGGAGUGGUCCCCAGGACCCCUGCAAGGUUGAUCUCUGCUCCUCUGGCCUGGCUGGGCCUGGUUCUCCCAGGCUCUGAGUGGCAGGCAGAUUUCCAGGGGAUUAAACGCAGCCUGCCCGGCCUCCCCCACCCCCCACCCCGCCCCAGCCUGGAAAGGCCAGCAGGGCCUCCCAAGCCUGCCUGGCAGAUCUCCUUUUGUACAAAAAGUUAUUGACUUAUCAAGGUUAAAAUACAUUCAGCGCCGGCCAAUAAAACAAGGAUACCGCCGCAUCCCGGCUGUCAUGCGCGGCCUGGUUUUCAUGGCAACAGGCUCUCUCUGCACAUGAAACGGUUCAGUUGUGCAAAGUUCAGGCGUUACAUAAACAGGGAGUUAACAACAGCAGCAGAAAUCAAUGUCUAGCCAGGCAUGGCCUGGGGAGAUAGCAUUGAUUGGGCCGUAUGCUGUCGAUAGGCCAGGUCCCUGCUUCCUGCCCAGUUGCCUUGGGCUCCCUCCCGCGGCCCCAACCCCUGGCUCAGACCCAGAAAGCUCCAGAAAGGUGCCUCCACCCUGGCCCCGGAGCCCCUUUCUGGCUGGGAUCCAGCGGGGAGGGGAUCUGCUAAACUGUCUGCAGCUGUUUUGUAAACCAUUAUAUGGCUCAAAGAUGCCUUAAAAUAAGUUCACCCCAUUAUUAAUAGAAAAGGCAUCCUCUUGCCUUUUGAGCCAUCCUCGUGACAAAGGAAGAUCUCACUGCUUCUGUGUUUAGCCAUAAAAACCACCCAUAUUGCAAGAUGUGCCCCAAUCAGGUCAAAUAGAUCAGGAUAUGAAACCAAACUGGCCAUGCGACCUUGGGUAAGUCACUUCACCUCUCUGAGCCUUGGCUUCCUGUUUUCUAAAAUGCCAAGAGUGACAUCACCAACCUCAUGGAGGUAAGAAGGAAGAAAUGAGGGGACACAUGUAAAGCACCUCGCUUAGGGCCUGUGUCAGGAAGCUAAUCCUCUGUGUCUCUCUCCUACUCUAGAUUCCAGCACACACCUAGAUGGGGCAAAAAGAAACGGGAAACUAGGAAGUGAUAUUUGGGCUCAAAUCCCAGUUCCUCUGUUAGCUGUGUGACCUUAGCCAAGUCACUUUACCACUCUGAGACUUGGCAUUCAUUCCCUUAUAUAGUAUGGGGAAAAAAUGUCUUUGCAAGAGAGAAGAACAAAAUGAGCUCAAUGUUCUGGGCAUGCAGAAAGUGACCAGUAGAGAGUUAUCAAAUCAGAUCUUUCUUUCAGUCUUUCUUUCUUGCUUGCUUUCUUUCUUCCUUCUUUCUUUUCUAAGAUUUUAUUUAUUUGAGAGAGAGAGAGAGAGAGAGAGAGAAGCAGACUCCCCGCUGAGCAGGGAACCUGAUGCAGGGCUCCACCCCAGGACCCUGAGAUCGUGACCUGAGCUGAAGGCAGACGCUUCAGACACUUUACCGACUGUGCCACCCAGGUGCCCCCCUCCAGUGUUCCAGUGUCAAAUCUACUCACCCUCGAAGAAUGGAAGCUCUCAUGGGAUUUCUCUCAAGAAAGGGAGGGCUCCGGAGAAAAGAGUUAUUUGUUCCAUUUACCGGAAGGUUCUUAAGGACAGGGGCCUAAUCUUGUUCAUCUUUGUGUGGUAAUGCUUGGUACAGAGGCCAGGUCUACAGUAAGACCUCCGUGCGUGUUUGUUGAACAAAGUUAAAUACCUCUGGAGAGCUGACCAGGCCUUCUUUAUCUGGCAUGAUAGCAUGGAGACAGGGCGAUGGCUAGGAUGAUUUAGGAUAGGUUUGGGGGUGCUUCUAGACAUACUGGGUAUGGCACAGACAGCCAACUCACUGCUGAAAUUCAUAUCUCCUUCCAUGGGAUGAAAUGGAUGCUGGGAAGCAGAGCCCAGUGGGAAUAAGUAGCUCGAGGCCACAUUUCCAGGCAUGGCUGAACGAGUAGCUUUUGCCACUGAAAUGUGAGCAAGCAUAGUGUAAGAAGUGAUUAUGCCUCUUGUACACAAGUUUUCUCUUUUGCCCCAAGGCAGACAAUUGACCUUCCUAGAGCAGAGCAGGGCCAAAAGAUGGAUGGAGCCUGGGCCCCUAAAUCACUUGCGGAGGAAAGUUGCCCACCUGUUGACCAACAACAAAGGCUUUGAACUGUUAUAUGAGAAAUGAACAUCUGUUGAGUUGCACCAUUAAGAUGCCAGGGUCUGUUUGUUAUAGCAGUUGUGUUGCUGUUACAAAUUCACAGUGCUUCCUAGAAAGGACUCAGAACACUGCUCCUCUCUCCCCGAGGCCCCCAAACACACACAGACACACACACACACACACACACACCCGGGCACAGUCCUCUCCAAGUCAUGAAAUUUUACAGAGCUGAGAGGGGAUCCUUGUUUUUUUUUUUUUUGUUUGUUUGUUUUUUUAAGAUUCUAUUUAUUUAUUCA